rnacentral:snoRNA from 1 species
CCCCUCUCAAGGGUCGCACCUGGAGAGUUUCCAGUACUCUACCAGUCUCGGCUACGGGAGGGAGAGUCAAGCAGACGCCUAUCUAUUCCAUUCCUAGCUUGGGCAGUGGCUAGCGAGUGGAAGGCAAUCUGCUACAAGU